rnacentral:rRNA from 1 species
GUUGGCUUCUCUUGGAAAAUUGGCAAUGGCAAGAGGGUUAGAUUCUGGGAGGACCAUUGGUUUGGCAAUCCUACUCUGGCUACCCAGUAUUGGGAGCAUAAUGGCACCAUUGAUAAAAUCUGGGAUGGCUAUACCCUUAAGCUUACUUUUAGGAGAUGUUUCAACCAGGAACAGAUGGCUCUUUGGUUUGAACUUGUAGGAAUUGCUAUCUCCAUACAAUUUAUAGAUGAGGAUGACUCCCCAGUUUGGAAUUUGAAUUCUAAAGGGGUUUAUACAGUUAAAUCCUUCUAUAAAUUUAUCAAUUUCAGAGGAGUUCUACCUACCAGUUCUCCUGCUGUUUGGAAUCUCAAAAUCCCCCCUAGGAUUCAGAUCUUUCUUUCGCUUUUGGUCAACAAUAAACUGCUGACCAGAGACAACUUGAGCAAAAGACAAGAAGUGGGUGAUCCUACUUGUGUGUUUUGCUCUGAACAAGAAUCAUGUUUCCAUUUAUUCAGUGCUUGUGUUGUUGCCAUUGAGUUCUGGAAAGCCAUAUGUGUCCUUACUUGA